rnacentral:misc_RNA from 1 species
CGUGGGAGCGGGCUUGCUCGCGAUUGACCCAAUGCGGUCUUGCUGGAGAACCGUGUCGAUGCCAUCGCGGGCAAGCCCGCUCCCACA